AGAGUUUGAUCCUGGCUCAGAACGAACGCUGGCGGCGCGUUUUAAGCAUGCAAGUCGAACGGUAGUCUGUAGCAAUACAGGCGAGAGUGGCGCACGGGUGAGUAACACGUAGGUAAUCUGUCUUUGGAUGGGGGAUAGCUCAUGGAAACAUGGGGUAAAACCGCAUAAGGUUUAAUCACGAGAGUGGUUAAAUGAAAGGCGCAAUUGUGCUGUCUGAAGAUGAGCCUGCGGUCUAUUAGCUAGUUGGUAGGGUAAAGGCCUACCAAGGCGACGAUAGAUAGCCGGCCUGAGAGGGUGUACGGCCACACUGGGACUGAGACACGGCCCAGACUCCUACGGGAGGCAGCAGCUAAGAAUCUUCCGCAAUGGACGCAAGUCUGACGGAGCGACGCCGCGUGAAUGAUGAAGGCCGAAAGGUUGUAAAGUUCUUUUCUUGGGGAAGAAUAAGGAGUGCAGUGGAACGGUACUCUGAUGACAUUAACCGAGGAAUAAGCCCCGGCCAAUUACGUGCCAGCAGCCGCGGUAAUACGUAAGGGGCAAGCGUUGUUCGGAAUUAUUGGGCGUAAAGGGCGUGUAGGCGGUUUUGUAAGCCCGAUGUGAAAAGCCAUAGCCUAACUGUGGUGCUGCGUCGGGAACUGUAAGACUGGAGUUCAGGAGGGGAAGCUGGAAUUCCUGGUGUAGGGGUGAAAUCUGUAGAUAUCAGGAAGAACACCGAUGGCGAAGGCAAGCUUCUAGACAUGGACUGACGCUGAGGCGCGAAAGCGUGGGGAGCAAACAGGAUUAGAUACCCUGGUAGUCCACGCUGUAAACGAUGUACACUUGGUGUAGGGUGCGAACGCAUUCUUUGCCGGAGCUAACGCGUUAAGUGUACCGCCUGGGGAGUAUGCUCGCAAGGGUGAAACUUAAAGGAAUUGACGG
rnacentral:rRNA from 1 species